rnacentral:rRNA from 1 species
GUACACACCGCCCGUCGCUCCUACCGAUUUCGAGUGAUCCGGUGAACCUUCUGGACUGCAGCUACCUCCAGGUAGUCGCGGGAAGUUAAGUAAACCAUAUCACUUAGAGGAAGGAGAAGUCGUAACAAGGUUUCCGUAGGUGAACCUGCAGAAGGAUCA